GUUAAAAUAACAAAACAAAAACAAGGAUGCAAGUUGGAAAAUGGUAGAGGAGGAUGGAGUUAAGAAGAGCGGAGGGCAGACAUAAUCAAAAUACAAGGCAUUCCACACGUGUACCUGGUGCCCACAGGAGUCAGAAGAGGGAUUCAGAUCACCUAGAACUGCAGUUAUGAAUGGUUGGGAACCACCAGGUAGAGAAUUUUUUCAUCUGUCUAAAAGCCUUUCAUCCUUGUGAGGAAGCUGGAGUGUGAAAAGGCACCUAUUUAGGCUCUCCCACCUUUGCCAUCUGCUGGCGUCUGCAGCUGCUAUAAAUGGUCAUCAUCUCGGCCCAAAGAAAGAAGCAACUGAUUCCAAAGGUCACCACGCCACCCUCGGCAGCCAUGUUUACUGGAUCACCAGAUGAAGUUACGCUAUUCUUAGCUCUCACCCACAAUUCUCUUUAAAAACUCCAAAGGGGCAAAGAAUUUUUCCUCUCUUAAGAUGAAACUUUGAGAGCUAAAUAUGCUUGCUAUGUUUUUAUUCGAUUAUAGAAACGUAUGUCUCAAUGCCCGACACUGAGACUUCACGGGGCAUGGAUAUUAAUGAUGGCUAGUGGCCAUUUCAGGGCACAGGCUUUUGAUUUCUAUGCACGACCCUGGUUUAUUCACCUUUAGCACUGCAGGUUCAUUGAUGACACCGAAUAUACAGAUAUUAAAAAUACUCUGAUCCACUAGAGUCCUUCUAUUUCCACACAUUUCAUUUUGGUCUCAAAUGCAGAAUGGAUUUUUAAACAUAUUCUAUUCAUGUUUGAGAGGAAAAACAGGUCAUCAUACAGCCAAACAACUAAGUAGAGAUUUAUUGACUGAAUUACUUCAUUGUGUCCAUGUUUUAUUAUUUCUUUAAGUUGUCUAUUCUUUCCAAGCUAGUGCACUAAUGCUGCUUAAAUGUGCUUAGCUGCUCAAAUGGGAUUUGGCGUGUUGAGACCUUAGGUGAUGUAAAUUCAAAGGUAAAUGCUUCUAAUUUGGAACUACCUAGGCUUAUAGAGAAUCCGGCCUUUCAGAUAAUGAGACCAUAAAACAGACCACUCACAGGGCAGCACAGCUGCUCUCUAAACCAUGAGCAUCUGAGUGCUUUCCCACCACACAGCAGUAUCUCAGGCCAAUACAACAGUGCUACAUUCCAAUCUGUCACCUGGAAAGACACGGCACGUCCAUCCCCCACAAUCAUGCUACUAAGGGCAACAACUCAAACUUGCUGAUUAUCCCAGUGAAAAUGUACCCCAAGAAUAAAAAUCUCUUAAAAUCUG